rnacentral:rRNA from 1 species
AUUGAACGCUGGCGGCAGGCUUAACACAUGCAAGUCGAGCGGAGAUGGGGUGCUUGCACCUAAUCUUAGCGGCGGACGGGUGAGUAAUGCUUAGGAAUCUGCCAUUUAGUGGGGGACAACAUUCCGAAAGGGAUGCUAAUACCGCAUACGCCCUACGGGGGAAAGCAGGGGAUCUUCGGACCUUGCGCUAAAUGAUGAGCCUAAGUCGGAUUAGCUAGUUGGUGGGGUAAAGGCCUACCAAGGCGACGAUCUGUAGCGGGUCUGAGAGGAUGAUCCGCCACACUGGGACUGAAACACGGCCCAGACUCCUACGGGAGGCAGCAGUGGGGAAUAUUGGACAAUGGGCGGAAGCCUGAUCCAGCCAUGCCGCGUGUGUGAAGAAGGCCUUUUGGUUGUAAAGCACUUUAAGCGAGGAGGAGGCUACCUGGAUUAAUACUCUGGGAUAGUGGACGUUACUCGCAGAAUAAGCACCGGCUAACUCUGUGCCAGCAGCCGCGGUAAUACAGAGGGUGCGAGCGUUAAUCGGAUUUACUGGGCGUAAAGCGUGCGUAGGCGGCUGAUUAAGUCGGAUGUGAAAUCCCUGAGCUUAACUUAGGAAUUGCAUUCGAUACUGGUCAGCUAGAGUAUGGGAGAGGAUGGUAGAAUUCCAGGUGUAGCGGUGAAAUGCGUAGAGAUCUGGAGGAAUACCGAUGGCGAAGGCAGCCAUCUGGCCUAAUACUGACGCUGAGGUACGAAAGCAUGGGGAGCAAACAGGAUUAGAUACCCUGGUAGUCCAUGCCGUAAACGAUGUCUACUAGCCGUUGGGGCCUUUGAGGCUUUAGUGGCGCAGCUAACGCGAUAAGUAGACCGCCUGGGGAGUACGGUCGCAAGACUAAAACUCAAAUGAAUUGACGGGGGCCCGCACAAGCGGUGGAGCAUGUGGUUUAAUUCGAUGCAACGCGAAGAACCUUACCUGGCCUUGACAUACUAGAAACUUUCCAGAGAUGGAUUGGUGC